GACAUUUGAGCUGUGCCUGGAAGGUUGGAGAGGUUUUUCACAGGCAGCAGGGGUUGGGGGAGGGACUUUGCAGGCCCCAGGAAAAAACAAUGGCAAAGAUCCUCAAGAGGGUGAGGGACCAAGCAUGGUCUCAUUUGGGAGAACCCAGAGCCGGCCAGUGUGGCUAGGGGAGAGGGAGUGAGUGAGCUGAGGCUGGAGAGAAAAGUUGAGAUGUGAGCAGAGAGGAUCUUGAACACCAAGCCAAAGAAAGAAUUUUGCAGUGGACUGUCACAGGAGGUUUGAACAAGGGGACCAGUUUCCUGCUGCACCCUCCUGCCCUGCCCAUCUGGGCCUUCCUUGCCUUGUCGGUAGCAGUGGGUUGUUGUUGUUCUGAUUGUCUGUGGUUUGGUUUGGAGGUUUUCUGUGGUUUAGUUUGUUUUUUGGCCUUUCCCUUUUCCUUACAGUUUUUCACAGCAUAUGGUCCUGAUUACGUGCUGGAAAUCACGCCAAGCUGCCGGCCAGACCGCAAUGAGCCCCACCGAGUCCAGCAAAUCCUCAACUACAUCAAAGGGAAUCUGAAGCAUGUGGUCUAGUUGACAAAAAGAGAUCAAAUUUCCAGAGCCAAAGAGCAGUGCCUAUAAUGAAGACAGCGUGUUUAUGCGAGCAGUGUGUGGAAUUUGUGACUGCAGGGGAAAUUUGGAAGAAAUUACUUCCUGAAAAUUUCCAAGGGGCACCAAGUGGCAGCUGGCCUCCUAGCAUGAAGCAGGCAGGCACCCCAGAGGCCUCAACUAGACCUAGGGGAAGACAAACAUUUCCAACAUUUAAAGUGUUUAUUUUUAAAAAACACACAGAUGCCGUUUCUAAUCUUUGAAAAUUAUUUUUAGGCAAGUUGGGGAGGGGGUAUUUUUAUUUUCUUAAAGGAGACAGAUCAGAAGCUGGAGGAAAGCAUGGAGAUUUGGUUGGCAGUUGGUGGGACAGUAGGGAGAUGAGAGUCAGGGUUUGGGCCUCAGGAUCAUCCAGGUGGAACCUUGGGGGAGGGGGAUCUGGUCACAGAUGGGGAGAAAUCCACCUGUGUUGUUUUCAGGAUUACAAAUUUAUUUUGUUUUUUAAUAAAAUCUUUGCAAACCUA